rnacentral:rRNA from 1 species
UACGAAGGGGGCUAGCGUUGCUCGGAAUUACUGGGCGUAAAGCGCACGUAGGCGGCUCUUUAAGUCGGAAGGUGAAAUCCUGGAGCUCAACUCCAGAACUGCCUUCGAUACUGAAGAGCUCGAGUCCGGGAGAGGUGAGUGGAACUGCGAGUGUAGAGGUGAAAUUCGUAGAUAUUCGCAAGAACACCAGUGGCGAAGGCGGCUCACUGGCCCGGUACUGACGCUGAGGUGCGAAAGCGUGGGGAGCAAACAGG